rnacentral:misc_RNA from 1 species
GAUGAAGAACGUAGCGAAAUGCGAUAAGUAAUGUGAAUUGCAGAAUUCAGUGAAUCAUCGAAUCUUUGAACGCACAUUGCGCCCGCCAGUAUUCUGGCGGGCAUGCCUGUUCGAGCGUCAUUACAACCCUCAGGCCCCCGGGCCUGGCGUUGGGGAUCGGCGGAGCCCCCCGUGGGCACACGCCGUCCCCCAAAUGCAGUGGCGGUCCCGCCGCAGCUUCCAUCGCGUAGUAGCUAACACCUCGCGACUGGAGAGCGGCGCGGCCACGCCGUAAAACACCCAACUCUCCUGAAGUUGACCUCGAAUCAGGUAGGAAUACCCGCUGAACUUAAGCAUAUCAAUAAGCGGAGGA